UGUCAGCAGCUGCAAAACGAACCCGCCUCCCUUCCCGGUAUCCUCGCGGCCACCCCGCGGAAGGUGGCGCCGCGCCAGGCGGGCACCAGAACCGGCGCAGCCACGCCCUGCCGAGGGUGCAGACAACCAAGGAGACACCUCGCGCACAAUCAAGUCAAUGGCCGAGUGAUGGCUUGGGCUUCAGAGCAGGAAGAGUUUGAACCCAGCUCGAUUAAGUACUGGCUGACCUAGGGACACACACACUGAAGUGUUUCGGGGGAAAGAGCCCUCAUGUCUGCAACUUACAUUCAAAUGUCCUGCGAAGAAAAUGAAGAGAGAAAGGGGAAAGAGAAAAUAACAUACAAACGUGCUCAAGGUGAAUCCAGGAGGGUCGGCGGGAGGAUGGCUUCCUCCUUUUCUGAAGCCUCCAGCACCCCACAGUCCCUGACACACUGAGGUGCUCGGGCACAACUCCCAGGACGAAUCCUGCCCCUGGGGAACGUGAGUCUUCAGACCUUCCUGUCCUCCUCCCCUGACGCCCUCCAGUUUCCCGACAUUGCGCUUCAAACGUGUCACCCAGAACAGUGCCCACGGCUGCCCACAAAGGACUGGAGACGGCUCCAUCCCGAUGGGGACCAGGGACGCGGCGGCUUCCUCAUGUCCCAUGGAAUCCAAGCGCAGCCAACGCCUCCGCGUCUUUCCUCCUCCGCCCCCAGUUCUGGAGCGCCUGGGCAUCAGAUCGAGGAUUCCGUAUUUAAUCCUAUUCAGUUCCCUCUGUGUCUUUCAACCUCUUGUUCUACCUAGGCUGUCACCAUUUUUGAAUCCAGAUAAGUUAGAUUACACCCUAGUUUUGUUUUGUCUGAAAAUCUGGUCAUCUGCUUUCGUGGUCUUCACUUCAGUCCUUGAUGAAAAUGUUGCACACGACUUGGGCCAGGCCAGAGGCCGUGGCGCCUCUCCGGAGACUGACCUCCAGAUGGGCAUUGCUCACUCAUCGAGAGACUUUUGUCUUGUUUCUAGUAACUCUUUCUAGCUGCUACAACCUAAUUGUACUAUUUCCUAGGCUACUUUUUCCAUGUCUUCCAUGAGGUUAUCACAGAAAGUCAGAUGUUUUGAUGGAAUCAAGGUGUUCCAUAUCCACAGCAUUUCUAUGGCCUGACAACCCAACCCAAGAAGAAAGGACUCCCUUUGGCCUGCGUUGCUAAUAGUAAGCUUUUAAUUUUUUUAUGCUUGAAAAAAGGAUAGAAAGUAUUCAUUUUAUUAAAAUUCCAAAAUACAGAUAGAUGAAAAGGAAUUUUAAAGCACUCUAAGUCCCCCCCUGCAUAAACGAGCACUUUAAACAUUUUGGUAUAUAUUUCUACAAGUUUCUAAAAACAUCUAAUAAAUAAACAAAAACAUCUAAAAGCGCAUAUGCCAAAAACCUCAUAACAAUGCAACCAGAUCUAAAUACUCUUUUGUCAUCUGCUUUUUUCACUCACUAAUAUUUCGUGAAUAUCUUCACAUAUGAAUAAAAGUACCACGACAUAAACUAUUUUUAUGGGCUGUGUAGUAUUCCAUUAUAAGGACAUAGACUAUUCAACAGAUCCCACAUAACUGGAUUCAGUUUUUUUGCCUUUAUAAACAUUGUUGUAUUUACCCGUUAUGAACACAUCCGACAGCUUCCCUGAAAUUACUUCCAAUGUUAGAGUCUGUCUUUUCUGAGUAGCCCUGGAUCCCCAGACUUCUUUAUCUCUACUUCUCUGGUAAACAUAUUUUCCAUUACAAUCAUUAUAUACUGUCAUCUCCCUGCUUGUAGUUGCUAAGCUCCUUUAGGGAACCGUCCACCCCAAUUCAAGAUUUCACCCCUAAUGCCUAACACAGUCGCUUGCACCGAGAGAUACUCCGUAAGCGUUUGUUGACGAAGGGCAUGAAUAAAGGAAUUUGUUUAAUGAUUCA